rnacentral:rRNA from 1 species
GGGAGAAAGCAGGGGAUCUUCGGACCUUGCGCUAAAUGAUGAGCCUAAGUCGGAUUAGCUAGUUGGUGGGGUAAAGGCCUACCAAGGCGACGAUCUGUAGCGGGUCUGAGAGGAUGAUCCGCCACACUGGGACUGAGACACGGCCCAGACUCCUACGGGAGGCAGCAGUGGGGAAUAUUGGACAAUGGGCGGAAGCCUGAUCCAGCCAUGCCGCGUGUGUGAAGAAGGCCUUUUGGUUGUAAAGCACUUUAAGCGAGGAGGAGGCUACUAGUACUAAUACUACUGGAUAGUGGACGUUACUCGCAGAAUAAGCACCGGCUAACUGUGUGCCAGCAGCCGCGGUAAUACAGAGGGUGCGAGCGUUAAUCGGAUUUACUGGGCGUAAAGCGUGCGUAGGCGGCUUUUUAAGUCGGAUGUGAAAUCCCCGAGCUUAACUUGGGAAUUGCAUUCGAUACUGGGAAGCUAGAGUAUGGGAGAGGAUGGUAGAAUUCCAGGUGUAGCGGUGAAAUGCGUAGAGAUCUGGAGGAAUACCGAUGGCGAAGGCAGCCAUCUGGCCUAAUACUGACGCUGAGGUACGAAAGCAUGGGGAGCAAACAGGAUUAGAUACCCUGGUAGUCCAUGCCGUAAACGAUGUCUACUAGCCGUUGGGGCCUUUGAGGCUUUAGUGGCGCAGCUAACGCGAUAAGUAGACCGCCUGGGGAGUACGGUCGCAAGACUAAAACUCAAUGAAUUGACGGGGCCCGCACAAGCGGUGGAGC